rnacentral:rRNA from 1 species
CCUACGGGGGGCAGCAGUGGGGAAUAUUGCACAAUGGGGGAAACCCUGAUGCAGCAACGCCGCGUGAGUGAUGACGGCCUUCGGGUUGUAAAGCUCUGUCUUCAGGGACGAUGAUGACGGUACCUGAGGAGGAAGCCACGGCUAACUACGUGCCAGCAGCCGCGGUAAUACGUAGGGGGCGAGCGUUGUCCGGAUUUACUGGGCGUAAAGGGAGCGUAGGCGGUGUUUUAAGUGAGAUGUGAAAGACCUGGGCUCAACCUGGGGUCUGCAUUUCAAACUGGAAGGCUAGAGUGCUGGAGAGGCGAGUGGAAUUCCUAGUGUAGCGGUGAAAUGCGUAGAGAUUAGGAAGAACACCAGUGGCGAAGGCGGUUCUCUGGACAGUAACUGACGCUGAGGCUCGAAAGCGUGGGGAGCAAACAGGAUUAGAUACCCGAGUAGUC